UAAAAUUAUUUUAUACCAAUAUACAGAACCUGUCAUUAUUUUAUAAAUUAUAUUUAGUCACAUAUUAAGUUACUUUGUUAGAUGAGGGAAUCUACUGUGAGAAUACAGAUGGUUCAUCUGCCUCAAACUAAUCCUGGAAUAGUUUACUGUUAAAGCCGUAUUAUGAUAAACAUGCUACGAAGUGCUUCAACUAUUAGGAUAAGAAGCUUCUACUGAUUGCUCCUUAUCAAAAAGGUUCAAAUGAAUGUUGUGAAGCCAAAAGGGAGAGAAUAAAAACAGAACAUGACAGCUGGGUCAAUAUCCCUAAUGCGCCUCAAAUUGAGGAACUCAAAAGUAGUCCGUUAACAAAAAGUAUAUGUCUGAUGAUGUUAGACGUGUUUCAAUUUUUAACAAGUGUCUGAGUUUAACUAUUUGUGCUGAUUUAGAGAGCAGAAGAUCCUGAAGAAGGUGUCAAAACUAUGGAGUUAUUUAAUGUAUGCAAAGAACUGCAUUUUUAAAAGAACUUAUUUUAAGAAGAAAGGGAUCUUUUUACCUCGAGAUGCCGUAUCACAAAAGGCAUUUCGGGCAGUGCUAAAUUAUGGAAAAAUGAUUCUCACUUCGUACCCCGAAAAUUUAACCCCAUAUGUGCAAAUGACUCAGCUUCGAAACGAGCCAUCAUACAUAUCCAAGUUUACGAUAUGGGCAAAGGAAUGGAGGAAAGGUUACCUCUUACGCCUACCUGAAAUGAAUUGCUCAUCUUUACCCAGCUACGGUGAGUAUCUCAAAAUGUUAUUGCUACAAUUUAAUGCACUGCAACAAAUCAUAGUGUCUUAUCUCAGUGAAAAAGAUGAAUGGUCAAACCUUUUAAGGAACGAAGUGCUUCAACUAUUUAGCUAUAAAGCUUUUACUGAUUACUCCUCAUCAAAAAGGUUCAAAUGAAUGUUGUGAAGGCAAAAAGAGGAAAUAUCUCUCUUUCUUGUGAUAAUGCUUUCCAGAAUUUGAUUUUUUUCUCUCAAUUAUACAAUUUGUUUUUAAAUGAAAUGAUAUAACAACCUGGUCAAUGUUUUGUGUUAUUUCAGUUUCUGACGUAUCAUUCCAGUUUAACUUGAGACGGAAGAUUAUAGGUUUAAUAAUGUUCUGAAUUUUACUAAAACAUUUAAAAAAAAAAAUCGUGAAAAAGUAAAGGUAUUGAUUAAUUCAACAUCAGUUGUUGAUUUAAAAUUUGAUGGAAUUUUUUGAAAUUUUCGUAUGUAAUUGAAAAUUGUUCAGCAUUUUUAACUAAUAAGUGUUUCCAAAAGACCGCCAGAAAAUAACUAAACUAGAAUUUUCAGACAAUAUCAAUAGUGAAUUAUUUGAUCAAAUAUAGCUACUAUGUAAGUUAUGGAUAACAUUUGUUGAAAAACAUAAUGAAAAUAAAGUUAACUGGAUGUACAUGAAAAACAAAUAACAUGCCAGAGCAAAGUCGAAUUGUAGAUCAGUUUUUGGUUUGAAAUAUGAGGAAUGUCUAUGAAAUUGUCGAAAUAUUGAUCAAAUCUAAACGCAAAUUUGUUUAGAGUUAAUACUAACCGGUACUUCCAAUUAACCAUCGGAAAACAUGUUUACAAGAAGUUACAAGCCAUUUAUUGUUAAACUAUUUGAGCAUAAAUAACGGCAUUUUUAGUUGUGGAUUAACAUGUUUGUAAAGGCUGAAGACAAUUGUGUCACAUAUUGAAAAUUUCUUUGAUAUAUUGUGUUUUCUUUUGCCGUUUUCAUUAUUUAAUAUUCAACACAAAAGAAAAAGAAAUAAAAAAAGGAAAAUUACAAUUAUGGUAUUUAUCUCCAAACACAUUGUCUGUGUUAUUUAAAGAUACUUAAUUCGGAUUAAACUUUGGAUACAAUGAAACAUAAUAUUCUGUAUAAAAAAAAAACACCGUUCAUGCAUUUAAACUACAAAUCAUUGUUAAUCUUUCUAGUCUUGUUUUAAUAGACAAAAACAUUUUUUGAAUACGUCUAGAAAAUCUUCGACCUUCUCAAUUUGAACGGAAAUUAUUGACCGCUUUUGCCAAAAGUUUUGUUCGUACCGGAUGCCAGAAACUAUUAAAACUUGACAUUCAACUAAUUGAAGAAAUCAUAAUGUUUUGGGAUAUAUUGCUCUAUCGUACCAAUUAAAUUUGUUGAAAAUCUUGCUGAAAAUGAAAAAAAAGUUAACUGCAUGAACAACACUAAAGAUUCUUAAACAAUGUUUGACCUACGUUUUGAAAAAAAUAAUUUAAGUUUUUUUUUCUUGAAAUGAUUUUGAUAUAUAUUUAUAAAAAAACAGCCCAUCACAGCUGGGUCAAUAUCCCAAAUGCGCCUCAAAUUGAGAAACUCAAAAGUAGUCCGUUUACAAAACGUAUAUAUGCGGUGAUACAUGUAUAAGACAUGUUUCAAUAUUUAACAAGUGACUGAGCUUAACCAUUUGUGCUGAUUUAGAGAGCAGAGGACUUUGACAUAAAGGUGUAAAAACUAUGUAUGUAUUUAAUGUAUGCAAAAAACAAAAGUUUUAAAAGGUUAUUUUUACCUCAAUAAACCGCAUCACAAAAGGCAUUUCGAGCAGUGCUAAGUUAUGGAAAAAUGAAUCUCACUUCUUACCCCGAAAAUCAAAUACAGAUGUGCAAAUGUCUCAGCUUCGAAAGGAUAUGUGCAGAGGAAUGGAGGAAAAGGCUUCACCAUCGCAUACCUGAUAUGAAUUGCGCAUCUUUACCUAGCUACGGUGAGUAUCUCGAAAUGUACUGCCUAUGUUUUUUUAAGGAUAACAAAUUAAGAUAAAUUGUUAGUUUACUAACGUGCGUUUAAUUAAGAACGACAGGUAAUUUUUUCGUGUUUGCAUUUUAUUGAAAAAUUCCAAUAAACAUAAAAACAUAUAAGUAAUGAUUGAGUCAAAAUCAGUUGUUGAUUCAAAAUUUGAUGGAGGUCUUCGAAAUUGUUAACUAAGAAGUGUUUCCAAAAGACAUUUGAACUUAGUGUGAAAUCGCAUGGCGGGUGGUGCAUGUAUAGCAGUAGAAGACGCUUACCCAGUUGUCUAACCCGCUCUUGCACCUUUUGGAGUUCAUGCCGUUUCCUUAGUUUAUGUUUGUGUUUGUUCCCUUGAGAUGUCGCCUUAAAUAAACAUCUCACUCUGUUCCGGGUCUGAAACUUAACACAAACCCUUACAACGGUCCCCGUGUAGCGAAAAAACACGAUAGCUUUAAUCAAUCUGCUAAGCGUAAAAAACUCUCACACCUUAAAGGUAAACAUUGCCCGUAGCGAAAGCAACCAUCACCUUUUGAGAUCCAACAUGUAUUCCUCACUCUUUUUCUUCAAAAAAAAAUAUAAGCAUCUUCAAAAACAAAUUUCCAUAAUCAUAGAUCUAAAUACGCCAGCAAGGUUCUUAUCUCGGGGGACCACUUCAAUGCUUAAUUAACAGGGGUGCCACAUGGGGUUCUGUUAUCCCACCCUUUUCAUAUAUUGCGUAGGUAAAUAUGUAACCUUCUUCCAUAUUGGUUGGGUUUGAAAAGAUCACAUUUGCUCGCAGCUCAAAUCUGAGCCUCAGAUUCUUAUGUAAUGUGUACUUACGACGAAACUGUCGCCUGUGAAAAAAAUUACGGAGCUUUUCUUAUAACAAGUAAUGGAAACUUUAUAGACCUUAUUACAUAUUUCAAAUAUACACAAAAACAAUAUCAAAAAUGAGGCCCAUUGGACAGAUUUGAACAUCAAUCAAAACCGUCACUUUUUUUGAGGAACUGAAAGGAGUUUAAGGUACUAAAACGAAAACUGUACAACCUUGGAUCUUCAUCUGAGACAAUUUUUUUUUUUAUCUUUUUUUACAUAAUUGUUCUUGUCAGAAUACAUCUUC